rnacentral:rRNA from 1 species
CCUACGGGUGGCAGCAGUGGGGAAUAUUGGGCAAUGGGCGCAAGCCUGACCCAGCAACGCCGCGUGAAGGAAGAAGGCUUUCGGGAUGUAAACUUCUUUUCUGCGGGACGAAGAAAGUGACGGUACCUCAGGGAUAAGCCACGGCUAACUACGGGCCAGCAGCCGCGGUAAUACGGAGGUGGCAAGCGUUAUCCGGAUUUAUUGGGUGUAAAGGGCGUGUAGGCGGGAAAGCAAGGCAGAUGUGAAAACUCAGGGCUCAACCCCGAGCCUGCAUUUGAAACUGUUUUUCUUGAGUGCUGGAGAGGCAAUCGGAAUUCCGUGUGUAGCGGUGAAAUGCGUAGAUAUACGGAGGAACACCAGUGGCGAAGGCGGAUUGCUGGAUAGUAACUGACGCUGAGGCGCGAAAGCGUGGGGAGCAAACAGGAUUAGAUACCCGAGUAGUC